AUGGGAACGCGAAGAACCUUACCUAGACUUGACAUCUUCUGCAUUAAUCGUAAUGGAUGAAAUCCCUUCGGGGACAGAAUGACAGGUGGUGCAUGGUUGUCGUCAGCUCGUGUCGUGAGAUGUUGGGUUAAGUCCCGCAACGAGCGCAACCCCUACUUAUUAGUUGUCUAACAUUAAGUUGUAGCACUCUAGUGAGACUGCCCGGGUUAACCGGGUAGGAAGGUGGGGAGUGACGUCAAAUACAUCAUGCCCCUUACUGUCUAGGGCGAACACACGUGCUACAAUGGUGAGUACAGAUAGAUGCGAUACCGCAAGGUGGAGCCAAACUCUAAAACUCAUCCCAGUUCGGAUUGUAGGCUGCAACUCGCCUACAUGAAGUUGGAGUUGCUAGUAAUCGCGAAUCAGAAUGUCGCGGUGAAUACGUUCCCGGGUCUUGUACACACCG
rnacentral:rRNA from 1 species